AUGGUAAAUGCUAAGAUGGCUGACGAAAAUUCUAAAUAAUUUUUUCUAACAACGUUUUAUAGAAAAAAUGUCUAAACUAGCAACAACAACCGAUACGAAUUUACAACCGACAUUGGGUAAAUGGGUCUGGAAAGAAGAAACAAAUACUUUAGAGUUCGUCAGUCUGCACCCAGAUAAAAAAGACAAGAGAAGAAAGAACAAGGGUCAUCAUGAUAAAAAUAGACUUGAUAGAGUCGUGUCAAGUGGGGCAAGAAACCUUGGAGGUGGUAAGGUUCGAGGUCCAGCCAGGUUAACAAAUGCAAAAUCUCCCAAAGCCAACAGACGAGAUGUAGAAAAUGAUAAAGUUAUGUUAGAAGAUAUUAAACGGGUAGCACAUGGUAUGAUGUCAGAGGUUGAUAUAAUACCUGAUUCUUUUAAUAUGUUAAAUGG